UACGAAGGGGGCUAGCGUUGUUCGGAUUUACGUGGGCGUAAAGCGCACGUAGGCGGAUCGUUAAGUCGGGGGUGAAAUCCUGGAGCUCAACCGCAGGCGGUCGCAGGAAACUGCCUCGCUAGAGUCCGGAAGAGGGAGAGCGGAAUUCCUGGUGUAGCGGUGGAAUGCGCAGAUAUCAGGAGAACACCCGUGGCGAAGGCGGCUCUCUGGGACGGUACUGACGCUGAGACGCGAAAGCGUGGGGGAGCGAACAGG
rnacentral:rRNA from 1 species